rnacentral:rRNA from 1 species
CCUACGGGAGGCAGCAGUGAGGAAUUUUGCGCAAUGGGGGAAACCCUGACGCAGCGACGCCGCGUGAGUGAGGAAGGUUUUCGGAUCGUAAAGCUCUGUCAGAAGGGAAGAAGUGUUAUAUGGUUAACACCCAUAUAAUUUGACGGUACCUUCAGAGGAAGCACCGGCUAACUCCGUGCCAGCAGCCGCGGUAAUACGGAGGGUGCAAGCGUUGUUCGGAAUUACUGGGCGUAAAGGGCGCGUAGGCGGCUGGAUAAGUCAGAUGUGAAAGUCCAUGGCUCAACUGUGGAAGUGCAUUUGAAACUGUCCGGCUUGAGUAUCGGAGGGGAGUGUGGAAUUCCCGGUGUAGAGGUGAAAUUCGUAGAUAUCGGGAGGAAUACCAGUGGCGAAGGCGCCCCUCUGGACCGAUACUGACGCUGAGACGCGAAAGCGUGGGGAGCAAACAGGAUUAGAUACCCUGGUAGUCCACGCCGUAAACGAUGAGCACUAGGUGUAGCGGGUAUUGACCCCUGCUGUGCCGUAGCUAACGCAUUAAGUGCUCCGCCUGGGGACUACGGUCGCAAGACUAAAACUCAAAGGAAUUGACGG